AAGUCGAACGAGAAAAGGGGAGCAAUCCUCUGAGUAAAGUGGCGUACGGGUGAGUAACACGUGGGUAAUCUGCCUCUGGGUGGGGAAUAACUCUGGGAAACCGGAGCUAAUACCGCAUAAGACCGAAAGGUGAAAGGUGAAAAUCGCCCAGAGAGGAGCCCGCGGCUGAUUAGCUUGAUGGUGGGGUAACGGCCUACCAUGGCAGAGAUCAGUAGCCGGCCUGAGAGGGCACACGGCCACACUGGCACUGAAACACGGGCCAGACUCCUACGGGAGGCAGCAGUGGGGAAUCUUGCACAAUGGGGGAAACCCUGAUGCAGCGACGCCGCGUGAGCGAUGAAGCCCUUCGGGGUGUAAAGCUCUUUCGGCAGGGACGAUAAUGACGGUACCUGAAGAAGAAGCUGCGGCUAACUACGUGCCAGCAGCCGCGGUAAUACGUAGGCAGCGAGCGUUGUUCGGAGUUACUGGGCGUAAAGCGUGCGUAGGCGGUGGUCCAAGUCUGGUGUGAAAUCUCCCGGCUCAACUGGGAGGGUGCGCCGGAAACUGGGCCGCUGGAGUAUGGGAGAGGCAAGCGGAAUUCCAGGUGUAGCGGUGAAAUGCGUAGAUAUCUGGAGGAACACCCGUGGUGCAGACGGCUUGCUGGACCAUGACUGACGCUGAGGCACGAAAGCGUGGGUAGCAAACAGGAUUAGAUACCCUGGUAGUCCACGCCCUAAACGAUGCAUAUUUGGUGUGGGCAGUUCAGUCUGUCCGUGCCGAAGCUAACGCGAUAAAUAUGCCGCC
rnacentral:rRNA from 1 species